rnacentral:tRNA from 1 species
GCGUUAUUAGUGUAGCGGUUAUCAUCCUUGCCUUCCAAGCAAGGGACUCGGGUUCGACUCCCGAAUGACGCA